UUACGGUCAAAUCACGCUGAAAACACCGGUUCUCGUUCGAUCACCGAAGUUAAGCAUCGUAGAGCCAGGUCGGUACUUAGAUGGGGGACCGCUUGGGAACACCUGGUACUGUAAG
rnacentral:rRNA from 1 species